CCUACGGGAGGCAGCAGUGGGGAAUAUUGCGCAAUGGGCGAAAGCCUGACGCAGCGACGCCGCGUGAGGGAUGAAGGUCUUCGGAUCGUAAACCUCUGUCAGCAGGGAAGAACGGUCACUGUGCUAAUCAGCAGUGAAUUGACGGUACCUGCAAAGGAAGCAUCGGCUCACUCCGUGCCAGCAGCCGCGGUAAUACGGAGGGUGCGAGCGUUAAUCGGAAUUACUGGGCGUAAAGCGCUCGUAGGCGGUAUGUCAAGUCAAGGGUGAAAUCCCCGCGCUCAACGUGGGAACUGCCUUUGAAACUGGCAGACUGGAGUGUGUGAGAGGAUAGUGGAAUUCCAGGUGUAGGAGUGAAAUCCGUAGAUAUCUGGAGGAACAUCAGUGGCGAAGGCGACUAUCUGGCACAUAACUGACGCUGAGGAGCGAAAGCGUGGGUAGCAAACAGGAUUAGAUACCCUUGUAGUC
rnacentral:rRNA from 1 species